AGCACCGCCCUCAGCCUCGAUGCUGCCCCACCCCCUUGGCCCCGCAUCUCCCAUCGCCCUCCAGUCCUCUAAUAUAAAAUUAACUCUUUAAAAAUAUUUUAUUAGGAAGUUGCUAACCUUGGUUGUGUUGAUAUGCUCUAACUUGAUAAAGUAAUAAGUUUGUGAAAUUAAUAGAUUUGGUGCAAGAAGAAGAUGGAGGGGUGGAAGUUUAUGCUUAAGAGAGGGGGAAGGUAAGGUACACGUUGCAAGGAGAAGAUGGAGGGGUGGGAGUUAAGCCAAGGGGAAGAAAUCAUAUAUGUUAAUUAAUUAAUAGAAGUUUGUGAAAUUAAUAGAUUUAUUGCAAGAAGAAAUGGAGGGGUGAAAGUUUAUACUUAAGAGAGGAUGAAGGUAAGGUAUACGUUGCAAGGAGAAGAUGGAGGGGUGGGAGUUAAGACAAGGGAACAUGAGCUGAGUUUAAAAAAAAAAAACUUCUAAAGUAAUGUGGUUGUGCCACAUCAGCAAGAUUAUUGA
rnacentral:lncRNA from 1 species